GGAUAGCUCAGUUGGUUAGAGUGUGGUGCUGAUAACACCAAGAUUUGCAGGUUUGAUCCCCAUAUGAGACA
rnacentral:tRNA from 1 species